CGUAGAUCGCCGCUGCUGAGACCGCCCUAGCCCUCCUCUGCUUCAUGAUGCCGCAGCACCAUCCGAGUACCACCGUCGCCUUGGGUUGCAUGCAGAUCCUCUGUCUCAGAUCAUUAACGAUCUGGAUUGUAUCCGGACUUUCCUGCCUCUCUGCUUGGUGGUUUAGUGCUCCAACUCGCUCGUAAUGUUUCUGCUUUUGCCACUGCAUGGGCUAGACGAUUUCCGUUUCUAGGAGUCCAAGUCAUUCCCUUUUCAGCUAUUGCACUUGUUCCAGUAUCCUUUCUGAAGGUUGCGUCAACAUUUACGUUCAACCAGUUCUCAGGGGGAGGUCUCCAUUUCACCAGGUUUGAGCUCCACCAUUGCAGACUCAGCAUAUGACCUUCAAUUCUCCAUGGUCCAUCAUCAUACGCUCUUCUAGCUUCCUCCAGACUUUUGAAGUUCAAGAUAAAGGAGUUUGGUCCUACAUUGGUGAUCACCAGACCCUGCGGAUCUCCCCACAUAUUAAGAAUCGUUUUACGCACUGUGACCGUAUUUAGCACCUUUUCCGUCAACACCCGGCCCACUAGUUUCUGAUUUGUAUUAUCUCCAUGUUGAGCUGGAGAUUCUUCCAAUUCUAAAACAUCC